rnacentral:misc_RNA from 1 species
AGAUGAAACUCAAAUUUCUUGAUUUCAUUCUUAAUGGCUAGGAUCUCCUUGUAAAUCGUUUGAUAGUAUUUUUUAGACUCUUUUAAUUAUCCAAUGCAUGAUCAUAAAUUUAUUGCUUUCCAUCAAGUUCUUCAAGUAAAAUAGCCCCCCAAUAUUCGUCAUUGGCGUCAGUCUAGAGAAUCUCUUUUCUUCUGCUUGGAAUUUUUAAAGGAGGGGCUUUUUGAGCUACUUUCUUCAAAAUUUUUACAGUUGUGGUUUGUUCAUUAUUCCAAGUGGGGGCCUUUUUUAGCAUCUUGGAAAGCUA